AUACAAAUUUAUGAUUUAUUUUUCAUUUUUAUUGUCAAGGAAUUUCUCUCUCUUCCUCACUUCAUAAAAUUGGUUUCUCUUCCUCCUCAUCCCAUCACAUUUUCUAUCUCUUUAUUCCUCCUUCCAUAACAUAUCAUCAGAAGAGAUGCCGGCGGCGGAGGUCUUCAUGGGGAUGGGGAAGCAGGGAGUAGAGGCAGGGAGGAAAAAUUAGGGUCUCGCAACGAGAGAGGUAGGGGAGGUGCGGCGACGAAUGUGUUGGCCGGCGAGCAGCGGUGAAGGAAGAAGGAGAUCGUGGGAGGUUGCGUUAUUCCUGUUGCGGCUACAAAAGAGAUUGAGUCAGCUGCAUUGGUCACCGAAGCCGAAGAUCAGGCGCGCGCGGUUACAAUUCUCUGCUGGUGGUGGUGCUUGCGAGCAAAGAAAGAACAUAUGUAGAAGGUUUUUGCAGAUCGAACAGAGGUUGUGUUCAAUUUUUCUAGUGUUAUAGGAUGUAAAAGAAGCUUGUUUCCACCGUCGACCAGGUUGUAGAGGCAGAAGAGUUGGAGUACUUUUUGGGAGAAUUCGGACAUACAGCGGUGGCCUGUGGUUGCGCUGGUGGCUCUAACUUUCUGCUGCUGCGCGCUUGUGGUUGUGGCGGUGGAUGCGAGAAAAGGAAGAACAGCUGCAGAGGCCUUGCAAUAGCUCCAACUGGUGGUCGAUGGUGGCAGUUUUAUCAUCGUUGCUUCUACCGAUUCUGGGAUUGUGAUACGUGAUGUUGAUGUUGAUGUUGCUUUGUGUUACUUUGUUACUUUCUGUUAUCAUAAUGUUACAUUGAAUCCUUGUACAAAAUUUUAUUUGUUUGUUUGUAUUUUCCAAAGGCUAAUUAAUGAUAUAUUUCAUGUGCGUUAGUAAUGAUUAAAUGAUUUUAGUUAAGAAA